GUGAACUCCCAUUCACAAUUGCUUCAAAGAGAAUAAAAUACCUAGGAAUCCAACUUACAAGGGACAUGAAGGAAAUGGCCAUACUGCCCAAGGUAAUUUAUAGAUUCAAUGCCAUCCCCAUCAAGCUACCAAUGACUUUCUUCACAGAAUUGGAAAAAACUACUUUAAAGUUCAUAUGGAACCAAAAAAGAGCCCGCAACACCAAGUCAGUCCUAAGCCAAAAGAACAAAGCUGGAGGCAUCACACUACCUGACUUCACACUAUACUACAAGGCUACAGUAACCAAAACAACAUGGUACUGGUACCAAAACAGAGAUAUAGAUCAGUGGAACAGAACAGAGCCCUCAGAAAUGAUGCCGCAUAUCUACAACUAUCUGAUCUUUGACAAACCUGAGAAAAACAAGCCAUGGGGAAAGGAUUCCCUAUUUAAUAAAUGGUGCUGGGGAAACUGGCUAGCCAUAUGUAGAAAGCCGAAAUUGGAUCCCUUCCUUACACCU
rnacentral:lncRNA from 1 species